UACGUAGGGUGCAAGCGUUGUCCGGAAUUAUUGGGCGUAAAGGGCUCGUAGGCGGUCUGUUGCGUCGGGAGUGAAAACUUACAGCUUAACUGUGAGCGUGCUUUCGAUACGGGCAGACUAGAGGUAUGCAGGGGAGAACGGAAUUCCUGGUGUAGCGGUGAAAUGCGCAGAUAUCAGGAGGAACACCGGUGGCGAAGGCGGUUCUCUGGGCAUGAUCUGACGCUGAGGAGCGAAAGUGUGGGGAGCGAACAGG
rnacentral:rRNA from 1 species